rnacentral:rRNA from 1 species
UACGUAGGGUGCAAGCGUUGUCCGGAAUUAUUGGGCGUAAAGAGCUCGUAGGCGGUUUGUCGCGUCUGCUGUGAAAACUCGGGGCUUAACUCCGGGCCUGCAGUGGGUACGGGCAGACUAGAGUGCGGUAGGGGAGACUGGAAUUCCUGGUGUAGCGGUGAAAUGCGCAGAUAUCAGGAGGAACACCCGUAGCGAAGGCGGCACUCUGGGCCGGAACUGACGCUGAGGAGCGAAAGCGUGGGUAGCGAACAGG